GGGAAUAUUGGACAAUUGGGGCAACCCUGAUCCAGCCAUGCCGCGUGUGUGAAGAAGGCUUUCGGGUUGUAAAGCACUUUCAGUGGGGAGGAACACCUGGCGAUUAAUACUCGUCAGGCUUGACGUUACCCACAGAAGAAGCACCGGCUAACUCCGUGCCAGCAGCCGCGGUAAUACGGAGGGUGCAAGCGUUAAUCGGAAUUACUGGGCGUAAAGCGCGCGUAGGUGGUUUGAUAAGCGAGAUGUGAAAGCCCCGGGCUCAACCUGGGAACGGCAUUUCGAACUGUCAGGCUAGAGUGUGGUAGAGGGUAGUGGAAUUUCCUGUGUAGCGGUGAAAU
rnacentral:rRNA from 1 species